GAUGAACGCUAGCGGCAGGCCUAACACAUGCAAGUCGAGGGAGAAGCCCUUUCGGGGGCAGAAACCGGCGCACGGGUGCGUAACGCGUAUGCAACCUACCUUUCACAGGGGGAUAGCCCGAAGAAAUUUGGAUUAAUACCCCAUAAUAUUAUUGGAUGGCAUCAUUUGAUAAUUAAAACUGCGGUGGUGAAAGAUGGGCAUGCGUCCUAUUAGCUAGUUGGAGUGGUAACGGCACCCCAAGGCUACGAUAUGUAGGGGUCCUGAGAGGGAGAUCCCCCACACUGGGACUGGGACAGGGACCAGACACCUACGGGAGGCAGCAGUGAGGAAUAUUGGUGAAUGGUCGGAAGACUGAACCAGCCAUGCCGCGUGCAGGAAGAAUGCCUUAUGGGUUGUAAACUGCUUUUAUAUGGGAAGAAUAAGGCGUACGUGUACGUUGAUGACGGUACCAUAUGAAUAAGCAUCGGCUAACUCCGUG
rnacentral:rRNA from 1 species